rnacentral:rRNA from 1 species
CCAGCAGCCGCGGUAAUUCCAGCUCCAAUAGCGUAUAUUAAUGUUGUUGCAGUUAAAAAGCUCGUAGUUGGAUUUCUGGUCGGAUCGCCUGGGCGGCUCCGCAAGGGGCCGUAUCUUGGGUGUCUUCGGCCAUCCUCAGGGGAACGCGCGGUGGUAUUCAUUUAUCGGUGCGUGAACGCCUGUCGUUUACUGUGAACAAAUUAGAGUGUUCAAAGCAAGGUGUACUUGAAUACAUUAGCAUGGAAUAAUAAGAUAGGACUUUGGUGGUUCUUUUUGAUAUUUUGUUGGUUUGCACGCCAAAGUAAUGAUUAAUAGGAGCAGUUGGGGGUAUUCGUAUUCAAUUGUCAGAGGUGAAAUUCUUGGAUUUAUA